GUUUUCCAGCCUUACAGGUUCAGGUAAUGAUGAAAUGCUGAUGGAGUUUCCACACCUUAUCCUAAUUACAGCAGAGGUUAAAAAAAAACAAACUAACAAACAAACAAAAAAAAACAAACAGUGGUGGCAUAGGCUAACUGGCUUUGUACUUACUGAAUGUUCCCACAUGGGUGGGAAGAUCCAUGAUGGACUAAUGAAUGCUUUCAUUAAUGAGUAAAAGCAAAAAUUGAUACCUUCAUUAGUAUGUUAUCUUUACUAAAACUUACAGGAGCAUUCAUGGAAUAGAUUGCUCUCAGGCAUAACAGUCUCAAAGCCCCAAGAAGUCAAGUCUGCUACAUGCUAAACGUGCUGACUCCAAUCCAAUGAAGUAUUUGAGCCAAUGUUGGACCUCAAAGCUCACAGGACCACUUGUGUCCUCACAGGCAUCCUCAGGAAAGCCACAAGAAUCUGCCAGCUGUGAUGGGACACCUGCAGCUACCCAGAGCAGCAUCUGGAGAGCACACAGGACAUCUGAAAUAACACUAGAUGCCUAUGUUUUGGCUACAGAAAGUGAACCCCUGCUGCUGACAGCCUUGGUUAUUUUGCUGCAGUAUCUCAGGCACGAGGUCCUAGGCUGCUGUUACAGUAUGGAAGGAGGAACCUGUGCUGGAGGCCACCAUCAGAAAUGACAUUGUAGCACCAAGCAACUUCAUAAGAAAUGUGACUAGGCCAGCUGCCACCCUUCCAAUCCAUUAUGUCAUAUCUGACCACUGGGUCCUAGUCAUCUGGAUUUCCCUGAGGUAGAUUGCUGGGCAAUAACACUGAAGUGGAUGCUGACAGUCUUUGAUAGCAGGUCUUUUCUCUCCCACUUCCCUGCUGCUAGGUCCCUCCUUCCUGUUACUGUGCAAGCUCUUAGUGCAAAACAUGCCCUGGCUUCAGGAGGCCUCACUCUAGUCUAGGCUGCUACUUUGCAAGUGAUAAUAGGACUAUUGCAUGGUGAAAGGCCAUAUAUCAUGGUGGGCUUACGUGUGGAUACGUGCAGAGUCUUUAGUGUAGUGCAGUGCUUGGUCUGAAAAGAACUUGUCUCUUAAUACCAAAGACAAAGUAGGGAUCUGCAUGCCUCAGAUUGCUUUAGAUGAUGGAAACUGUCAGUUGACAGUGUGAUUAGACUGUAAGGACUAGGUGUAAACGAGGGUAAAAUCCUUUUGAGUUAAUAAACAUAUCAUGCUAAUUGUGUACGUUCUUAUU
rnacentral:lncRNA from 1 species